rnacentral:rRNA from 1 species
UACGGAGGGGGGCUAGCGUUGUUCGGAAUUACUGGGCGUAAAGCGCACGUAGGCGGCUUUGUAAGUUAGAGGUGAAAGCCCAGGGCUUAACCCUGGAAUUGCCUUUAAGACUGCAUCGCUAGAAUUGUGGAGAGGUAAGUGGAAUUCCGAGUGUAGAGGUGAAAUUCGUAGAUAUUCGGAAGAACACCAGUGGCGAAGGCGACUUACUGGACACAUAUUGACGCUGAGGUGCGAAAGCGUGGGGAGCAAACAGG